CGUACCCCAAACCGACACAGGUGGUCAGGUAGAGAAUACCAAGGCGCUUGAGAGAACUCGGGUGAAGGAACUAGGCAAAAUGGUGCCGUAACUUCGGGAGAAGGCACGCUGAUAUGUAGGUGAAGUCCCUCGCGGAUGGAGCUGAAAUCAGUCGAAGAUACCAGCUGGCUGCAACUGUUUAUUAAAAACACAGCACUGUGCAAACACGAAAGUGGACGUAUACGGUGUGACGCCUGCCCGGUGCCGGAAGGUUAAUUGAUGGGGUCAGCGCAAGCGAAGCUCUUGAUCGAAGCCCCGGUAAACGGCGGCCGUAACUAUAACGGUCCUAAGGUAGCGAAAUUCCUUGUCGGGUAAGUUCCGACCUGCACGAAUGGCGUAAUGAUGGCCAGGCUGUCUCCACCCGAGACUCAGUGAAAUUGAACUCGCUGUGAAGAUGCAGUGUACCCGCGGCAAGACGGAAAGACCCCGUGAACCUUUACUAUAGCUUGACACUGAACAUUGAGCCUUGAUGUGUAGGAUAGGUGGGAGGCUUUGAAGUGUGGACGCCAGUCUGCAUGGAGUCGACCUUGAAAUACCACCCUUUAAUGUUUGAUGUUCUAACGUGGACCCGUGAUCCGGGUUGCGGACAGUGUCUGGUGGGUAGUUUGACUGGGGCGGUCUCCUCCUAAAGAGUAACGGAGGAGCACGAAGGUUGGCUAAUCCUGGUCGGACAUCAGGAGGUUAGUGCAAUGGCAUAAGCCAGCUUGACUGCGAGCGUGACGGCGCGAGCAGGUGCGAAAGCAGGUCAUAGUGAUCCGGUGGUUCUGAAUGGAAGGGCCAUCGCUCAACGGAUAAAAGGUACUCCGGGGAUAACAGGCUGAUACCGCCCAAGAGUUCAUAUCGACGGCGGUGUUUGGCACCUCGAUGUCGGCUCAUCACAUCCUGGGGCUGAAGUAGGUCCCAAGGGUAUGGCUGUUCGCCAUUUAAAGUGGUACGCGAGCUGGGUUUAGAACGUCGUGAGACAGUUCGGUCCCUAUCUGCCGUGGGCGAUGGAGAACUGAGGGGGGCUGCUCCUAGUACGAGAGGACCGGAGUGGACGCAUCACUGGUGUUCGGGUUGUCAUGCCAAUGGCACUGCCCGGUAGCUAAAUGCGGAAGAGAUAAGUGCUGAAAGCAUCUAAGCACGAAACUUGCCCCGAGAUGAGUUCUCCCUGACCCUUUAAGGGUCCUGAAGGAACGUUGAAGACGACGACGUUGAUAGGCCGGGUGUGUAAGCGCAGCGAUGCGUUGAGCUAACCGGUACUAAUGAACCGUGAGGCUUAACCUU
rnacentral:rRNA from 1 species